UACAGAGGUCUCAAGCGUUGUUCGGAUUCAUUGGGCGUAAAGGGUGCGUAGGUGGCGCGCUAAGUCGGGUGUGAAAUUUCGGAGCUUAACUCCGAACUGCAUUCGAUACUGGCGUGCUUGAGGACUGGAGAGGAGACUGGAAUUCAUGGUGUAGCAGUGAAAUGCGUAGAGAUCAUGAGGAAGACCAGUGGCGAAGGCGGGUCUCUGGACAGUUCCUGACACUGAGGCACGAAGGCCAGGGGAGGCAAACGGG
rnacentral:rRNA from 1 species